GCAGAGUGGAGAUAGUGUGGAAUAGGUAAUUUAAUGCAUCUAACAUUUGCUUGUUUUGACUUGUUAAUAACCAGGUCAACAUCGGUCAGAGGGAUCUGAGCACAAUCAUUGCCAUCUUCAAAGAAAACUUGGAAGAAAAAGAAGUCAUUGAGUCACACAACCAAGUGUCAACCCCACUGUCUCCGCCUCUGAUGGUUUCCCCGGCACCUGCGGAUGACCCUGUCAAGAGGCUGGAGACUUUCCUGACAAGCUCAGUUGAUGUCUACAAAAAGACAAAUGUCUUUCUUGCCCUGGAGGGGCUGCACUUGGUGCUGUAUACUGAUGCAGAAGAAGCUCAGCACUUGCAAGCCACAAAAACAGACAAGAGCCAAAUGACUGGUGUUGUCCUGUAAAAUAUGCUGAGUGUUUCAUGUAAUUUGAACCAAACUUCAAAAAUAUUGUUGUACAUCUUAGAAGAACAUUACAUCUAUUGUCAUAUUGUUUGCAGUCAUCCUAAGUUACGCAGACAAUUUUUUAACGCU